AUGAAGACCGUUUGUCUUUUCUUUGCUGUUGCCUUUCUGGUUUUCCAGGUCCAAGCAAGCUCAACUUUACCACCUGAGAAAGGAUCAGAAAAUCCUGGUGCUCCAAAUCCUUCUGACUACCGAGAAGAUGACCAUGGACUGGAGAAAAACUCAGCCCUUGCUUCACGAUUGACCACCUUUUCAUGCUUUGGUCCUUUUGGGUAUUGCCUUCCUCGGACCUGGUUGUGUCUCUCCGAAAGAGUGUUCAAAGAGGAAUUCAACGAUUGUCCAGUGCCUGAUGUCUUCAAGUGCUGUGUUUUCUGAAAAAUGGGACACACUUCUGUGAACCCCUCUCUGGAGACAACAGUCUCAACUAUGAAGAAGAAUUUUGAUUUGAUAAUCAGGAAAUUUGAUAAUGAAGAAGAGUGAUUUCUUCCGAUAUUCCACAUAAAUAAUCCUCUGUUAAUCAGCUCCACCACUUUCAUUAAAGCAUCUAUAAACUAAAAUAUUCAUUUGACUCAUUUGUUUGGUGCUUACUACUUGAUCUCAAGAAAGAUCAGUGCCCUCUUCCCAUGACGCCAUUAUAGCACAAUAAUCCAUUGUUAAUUGCCAUGGCAACAUCUUCUGGAAUCCUAGAAUUUGUAGUCUGGUGAGGUACCAUGGUUCUCUGAUUUAUAUAAUUCUACAUACUCCUUCCUGAUUGCAUAUCCCUGGAUUUCACAGGAUGUUGUCACUGCAAUUAAAGUGUAUCAUCAUGCUAUAAUCAUAAAGGGUGAAACAACCCCUAGUAUAAGUUCUUCUAUGAAAACAUCAUCUCAGUUUCUUCUCUCAUGAGAAAAAUAUGUGAAAAUUAAAACACAGAGCUAAAUUCCAUUGUCACUCCUGACUUGAGCAGAACCAUGGAAUCAGUUUGAUUUACUUAUGUGUUGACAGUUUCUAUUCUAGGAUUCCAGUCAUAUUUCUUUAUAUCUGAGAUGAAAAGAAUGAUAAAAUAUUUUGGGUUUUGUUUUUUAAAAAAAAUCAAAAUGUGUGAAUAACAGAGUGGCAGUUACAUUUAUCCAUUUAGUUUUUAAAACCUAGCUUUCAGUUCUUUUGCAUUCAACUAUGUUGGUGAUGAAUUAUCCUCUCUUUUUUCUUAGAGGCCCUCCUCAUUAACACCUACAUGGUACAUUAUUUAUUAUUAUUAUUAUUAUUAUUAUUAUUAUUAUUAUUAUUAUUAUUAUUUCAUUCUUUCUUAUCCAGCUUUCCCCAAGGAUUGAGACAGGGAAUAACAUACCAUAAUAUAACAUGAACCACAUAUCCUUAAUCAUUCAUCAUUCUGAGCUCUUAAGACUGGCUAGGCCUUUAAGACAAAAAGAAUUCAAAUAAUUUCAAGUGGCCAUUGAUAUUCAAGUAGUUUCAAGGGGCCACUCUGCCCACAGAUGUGAUUCAGUCCUUCCACCAUUUAUCAAAUUGGUUUCGGGGAUCUUCUAUUAUACCCACCAGGUCAUCCACAAAUGCACAAAUUUUGUAGCUAUAUUUUUUAGUCCUAAGUCCUUUAAGGUCUGUAUUUUUCCUUAUCUGCCCAUAAUUUUUUGUAACAUGUUUUUAAAUAAGAUAAUAUACUGUAUAAAUAACAAAUAAUAUAAAAAUAAUGACACAUAAUAAAAGAGAAUGUAAACAUAUAAAUUUGCUUGGUUUCAUCUAGCCACGGUGGCAAGGAAGCACAUUUGAGGCAAGAAAAUGUGUGUUGGCCAGUGUAACAGCAAGGCACAAAUAACAUGCAACAACCAAAAGAAAGAUCAACUUUUUGUGUCCCAAGCCCCACUUAGGUAAAUUGCUUAGUAGACUUGGGCCUGAAUCAGUUUGAACAAUACAUUUCUCCCUGUGGAAAUCCAUUUUGAUAGUGUUUACUUUUUCUAUUUUAACUUUUCUCUAACGGGGUUAAAUGUAAGGCACUACACCUAGGGAGGAAUAAUGAAAUGCUCAGCAAUGCAACUGUGAAUUGGUCAAACCUAUUUUGGCCCAGCAUGUUCAUUCUGGUUAGUACUUGAAAGAA
rnacentral:lncRNA from 1 species